AGAGUUUGAUCCUGGCUCAGAUUGAACGCUGGCGGCAUGCCUUACACAUGCAAGUCGAACGGUAACGGGCCUUCGGGUGCCGACGAGUGGCGAACGGGUGAGUAAUGUAUCGGAACGUACCUUUCAGUGGGGGAUAACGUAGCGAAAGUUACGCUAAUACCGCAUAUUCUGUGAGCAGGAAAGCAGGGGAUCGCAAGACCUUGCGCUGAUUGAGCGGCCGAUAUCAGAUUAGCUAGUUGGUGAGGUAAAAGGCUCACCAAGGCGACGAUCUGUAGCGGGUCUGAGAGGACGAUCCGCCACACUGGAACUGAGACACGGUCCAGACUCCUACGGGAGGCAGCAGUGGGGAAUUUUGGACAAUGGGGCAACCCUGAUCCAGCCAUGCCGCGUGAGUGAAGAAGGCCUUCGGGUUGUAAAGCUCUUUCGGCCGGGAAGAAAUUGUAUGGGUUAAUACCCUGUGCGGAUGACGGUACCGGCAUAAGAAGCACCGGCUAACUACGUG
rnacentral:rRNA from 1 species